UACGUAGGUCCCGAGCGUUGUCCGGAUUUAUUGGGCGUAAAGCGAGCGCAGGUGGUUUAUUAAGUCUGGUGUAAAAGGCAGUGGCUCAACCAUUGUAUGCAUUGGAAACUGGUAGACUUGAGUGCAGGAGAGGAGAGUGGAAUUCCAUGUGUAGCGGUGAAAUGCGUAGAUAUAUGGAGGAACACCGGUGGCGAAAGCGGCUCUCUGGCCUGUAACUGACACUGAAACUCGAAAGCGUGGGGAGCAAACAGG
rnacentral:rRNA from 1 species